AUUGGUGGGAGCGUUCCCUUUUCAGUAUCCUUUCUUUUUUUCCUUAUUUUCACUGGUUUCGAAUUCUAGAUUUGAUUGGUCUGCUCCAUGCGAUUUGUUUUGAAGUUUAGUUUUUUAAUUGAAUGGAAAUUUUAUUAUUAUUUUUUUUCAUUUGGAUUUUAGGGAUUUUUUUCCCUUUCUCUGUUAGCUGUCUCUGUACAUAUUUGUGCUUUUGAGUUUCUGAACUUUCAGAUACUUUGGUGAUCGUGCUGAUGU
rnacentral:misc_RNA from 1 species